rnacentral:rRNA from 1 species
GACGAACGCUGGCGGCAUGCCUAACACAUGCAAGUCGAACGAAACCUGCGGGUAUCUUGCUGCUCUCGUUCUUAGUGCCGAGCGAGUUGGUCACAGGUACUCAAUCUCCCCUCGAGAGGGGUACUACUGUCGGAUACUACUGUCGGUCCAACGUUUUAUCGCCUUUGGAUGGGGCGGCGUUGGAUUAGCUAGUCGGUAGGGUAAAGGCCUACCAAGGGUACGGUCCUUCGCUGGUCUGGGAGGAUGAUCAGCAACACUGGGACUGAGACACGGCCCAGACUCCUACGGAAGGAAGCAGUGGGGAAUAUUGGACAAUGGGCGAAAGCUUGAUCCAUCAAUGCCGUGUGAGUGAUGAAGGCCUUAGGGUUGUAAAGCUCUUUUACCCGGGAUGAUAAUGACAGUACCGGGAGAAUAAGCUCCGGCUAACUCCGUG